AGAGUUUGAUCCUGGCUCAGAUUGAACGCUGGCGGCAUGCCUUACACAUGCAAGUCGAACGGCAGCACGGGAGCUUGCUCCUGGUGGCGAGUGGCGAACGGGUGAGUAAUAUAUCGGAACGUACCCUAGAGUGGGGGAUAACGUAGCGAAAGUUACGCUAAUACCGCAUACGAUCUACGGAUGAAAGUGGGGGAUCGCAAGACCUCAUGCUCAUGGAGCGGCCGAUAUCUGAUUAGCUAGUUGGUGGGGUAAAAGCUCACCAAGGCGACGAUCAGUAGCUGGUCUGAGAGGACGACCAGCCACACUGGAACUGAGACACGGUCCAGACUCCUACGGGAGGCAGCAGUGGGGAAUUUUGGACAAUGGGCGCAAGCCUGAUCCAGCAAUGCCGCGUGAGUGAAGAAGGCCUUCGGGUUGUAAAGCUCUUUUGUCAGGGAAGAAACGGUUCGGGCUAAUAUCCUGGACUAAUGACGGUACCUGAAGAAUAAGCACCGGCUAACUACGUGCCAGCAGCCGCGGUAAUACGUAGGGUGCAAGCGUUAAUCGGAAUUACUGGGCGUAAAGCGUGCGCAGGCGGUUGUGCAAGACAGAUGUGAAAUCCCCGGGCUCAACCUGGGAAUUGCAUUUGUGACUGCACGGCUAGAGUGUGUCAGAGGGGGGUAGAAUUCCACGUGUAGCAGUGAAAUGCGUAGAGAUGUGGAGGAAUACCGAUGGCGAAGGCAGCCCCCUGGGAUAACACUGACGCUCAUGCACGAAAGCGUGGGGAGCAAACAGGAUUAGAUACCCUGGUAGUCCACGCCCUAAACGAUGUCUACUAGUUGUCGGGUCUUAAUUGACUUGGUAACGCAGCUAACGCGUGAAGUAGACCGCCUGGGGAGUACGGUCGCAAGAUUAAAACUCAAAGGAAUUGACGGGGACCCGCACAAGCGGUGGAUGAUGUGGAUUAAUUCGAUGCAACGCGAAAAACCUUACCUACCCUUGACAUGUCUGGAAUCCUUGAGAGAUCAGGGAGUGCUCGAAAGAGAAUCAGAACACAGGUGCUGCAUGGCUGUCGUCAGCUCGUGUCGUGAGAUGUUGGGUUAAGUCCCGCAACGAGCGCAACCCUUGUCAUUAGUUGCUACGAAAGGGCACUCUAAUGAGACUGCCGGUGACAAACCGGAGGAAGGUGGGGAUGACGUCAAGUCCUCAUGGCCCUUAUGGGUAGGGCUUCACACGUCAUACAAUGGUACAUACAGAGGGCCGCCAACCCGCGAGGGGGAGCUAAUCCCAGAAAGUGUAUCGUAGUCCGGAUUGUAGUCUGCAACUCGACUACAUGAAGUUGGAAUCGCUAGUAAUCGCGGAUCAGCAUGUCGCGGUGAAUACGUUCCCGGGUCUUGUACACACCGCCCGUCACACCAUGGGAGCGGGUUUCACCAGAAGUGGGUAGCCUAACCGCAAGGAGGGCGCUCACCACGGUGGGAUUCGUGACUGGGGUGAAGUCGUAACAAGGUA
rnacentral:rRNA from 1 species